CCCUGGGUGGUAAAAAUGGCUGACACAUUCAGCUUCUAACUGAAAGGGUGGAGGUUCAAGUCCACCCAGAGGCA
rfam:Loxodonta africana unplaced genomic scaffold scaffold_122, whole genome shotgun sequence.